rnacentral:rRNA from 1 species
AAGCCGCAGAAUUCUGUGCUAAGGUAGCAUAAUCAUUUGUCUUCCAAUUAAAGACUAGGAUGAAAGGUCAAACGAGUAAAAACCUUAAACACCAUAAUUCAUCAAAAUUGAAUUUUUUGUAAAAAUACAACAAUAAAAAAAAAAGACGACAAGACCCUGUCGAACUUAACCAAAGUUAUACUGGGGCAGUACUUCAAUAAAAAUUUUAAAACAAACAAUACAAAAAAAUCCUUUAAAAAUAAUUAAAAGUUACCGCAGGGAUAACAGCGCAAUUUUUUUUUAAAGCUCUUAUAUAAAAAUAAAAUUACAACCUCGAUGUUGAAUUAAUUUACCAAACACAAGCAAAAUUUUGUACGAAAGUCUGUUCGACUAUUAAAUAAUUACAUGAUC